rnacentral:ncRNA from 1 species
GACUUGAUUAGAUUGAGCCUUGGUAUGGAAACCUGCUAAGUGGUAACUUCCAAAUUCAGAGAAACCCUGGAAUUAAAAAUGGGCAAUCCUGAGCCAAAUCUUUAUGUUAAGAAAACAAAGGAUAGGUGCAGAGACUCAAUGGAAGCUGUUCUAACAAAUGGAAUUGACGUUGACUACGUUGCGUUGGUAGCUGGAAUCCCUCUAUCGAAAUUACGGAAAGGAUGGCCCUAUAUGCGUAUAUAUACAUACUGACAUAUCAAACGAUUAAUCACAACUCGAAUCUGGAAUCCCUAUUAUUAAAUAUUAUUAAAUAUAACUAUAUAUAGUUAUAAUUAUAACUAUUUUCUUUAUAUAUUUAAUAUAGAUAUGUUUUUUUCUAUAUUUAUAGAUUAAUUAAGAGUUAUUAUAAAUAUAUUCCAGUCGAAGUUGAAGGAGGAAUCGAAUAUUCAGUGAUCAAAUCAUUCAUUCCGGAGUCGGAUAAAUCUUUUGAAAAAAUGAUUAAUCGGACGAGAAUAAAGAGAGAGUCCUGUUCUACGUGUCAAUACCGACAGCAAUGAAAUUUAUAGUAUUAGGAAAAUCCGUCGACUUUAGAAAUCGUGA